rnacentral:lncRNA from 1 species
UUGUGUGUAUUGUUUUUACCAUCCAGUUUUACCACCAGCACGGAGCAGAAAACAGCCAGUGGAAAACAGAGAGGAGUAGGAUUUUGCUGUCAGAUAAAACGAGAGGAAAGGAUGCCAUCCCUGAAACUGCAGCCAGGUGCAGCUCUAAGCAACCACAGUGUUACAGAGGGAACCUGCCCCAGCUGACGCCAUGUAGAUGUGAUAAAGCAGAAAGUGAACACAGGAUUCCUCCAGGCUAAAG